AGAGUUUGAUCCUGGCUCAGGAUGAACGCUAGCGACAGGCUUAACACAUGCAAGUCGAGGGGCAGCGAGGGCGUAGCAAUACGCCUGUCGGCGACCGGCGCACUGGUGAGUAACACGUAUGCGACCUGCCCCCUACAGGGGUAUAACCCGUAGAAAUGCGGACUAAUCCCCCAUAGUCCUGGAGGCUGCAUGGCCUUCAGGGGAAAGGCCAGCCGGUAGGGGAUGGGCAUGCGGCGCAUUAGCUAGUUGGCGGGGCAACGGCCCACCAAGGCGACGAUGCGUAGGGGUUCUGAGAGGAAGGUCCCCCACACUGGUACUGAGACACGGACCAGACUCCUACGGGAGGCAGCAGUGAGGAAUAUUGGUCAAUGGGCGCAGGCCUGAACCAGCCAAGUCGCGUGAGGGAAGACGGUCCUACGGAUUGUAAACCUCUUUUGUCGGGGAGUAACGUGCGGGACGGGUCCCGUAUUGAGAGUACCCGAAGAAAAAGCAUCGGCUAACUCCGUGCCAGCAGCCGCGGUAAUACGGAGGAUGCGAGCGUUAUCCGGAUUUAUUGGGUUUAAAGGGUGCGCAGGCGGCGCGCCAAGUCAGCGGUCAAAGUUCCGGGCUCAACCCGGUGUCGCCGUUGAAACUGGCGUGCUCGAGUGCGUGCGAGGAAGGCGGAAUGCGUUGUGUAGCGGUGAAAUGCAUAGAUAUGACGCAGAACUCCGAUUGCGAAGGCAGCUUUCCAGCGCGCUACUGACGCUGAGGCACGAAAGCGUGGGGAUCGAACAGGAUUAGAUACCCUGGUAGUCCACGCAGUAAACGAUGACUACUAGCUUUCCGGGGCGACUGGGUCCUGGGAGGCACAGCGAAAGCGUUAAGUAGUCCACCUGGGGAGUACGCCGGCAACGGUGAAACUCAAAGGAAUUGACGGGGGCCC
rnacentral:rRNA from 1 species